ACUCUCCAAUCUGCAUUUCUAUAUUUCAUAACCUUAGAGCUAGCUUUCUGGGUUCAUCCUUGCACUUUCCUUCGAUUUUUUUUUGAAAAGUAGCACUGUUCAUAAUUUUUUUUUUGGCAAAAUGACUUAUUUUAAAAAGUUUUGGUGAAAUAAUAUAGGUUGUACACGAUAUCUUCUUCUCCCUCUAGACCGGCCAUUGCUCACACUCUCUUUUUCGCCUUCUGUAGUUGUCUCUAGACCAAAAACCAUUGUGAAGUGACCAUUUACAACCUUAUCACACAAAACAAAAAAACUUCUUCUCUUCAUCUUCAAGCAUCUCUUCAAUCGUUUUUAACCAAAAACCAUUGCCACCAAUCCUCGAUUAUGACCACUACACUACCACCAUUUCUUGGUUGAUAAAUCAAGAUGAACAUCCUAUAUUACUCUUAAUUUUAUGAGUUUUAUAGUCAAUUGAUAAAAAUUAAAAUGUUAUAUUUCUGAACUGUAAAAACAUGCACCCCCCCCCCCCCCGGCCUCGAUGCCCGCACCCUCUAUUCCACCAUUUGAUGUGUCUCAAGCCCAAAAUCCAUUAUGAAUUGAUCAUUUGUAGCUUUAUCACACCCAAAAGAUUUCUUCGUCUUCAAGCUUUUCUUCGGUCGUUUUUUUAAUUGAAAACCAUUGCCCCAAUGUUGCCACCACUCCCCAUUCACAACCACUAUAAUGCCACCACUCUCUAGUUGAUAAAUCAAGGUGACAUGAUGAAGUGGAUUGAACAUGAUGAAGUUAUAUGUUGGUAGUUGAUCUAAACAAAUCAUCUCCUUUUUUAUUAUGUAGCAUGAUCUAACUCUUGUCUUCGUCUCCACAUUUACUCGAAUAAAAAGAAAAGCAUAAUAAUUUGUUGGUU